CCUGUGAAGUUAGGCAUCAAUCAAUCCGAAAGAAUUAUUAAGAAAACAAAAAAGAAAGAAACAAUUUUUGCAUGAAGCAUGGAGCCAAAAGGCAUCAAUCAAUCCUCUCUCUCUCAAGAAAAUAUCUUCAAAUAGUGUAUAGAAGAGGUUGGAGCACUAGUAAAGUUGGGAAUUCUUAUAACGUUUAACUAAGCUUGGAAUGGAAAAUAAUCCUUCAGAGGAGGUCUCACAAAUCAAACCAAAUAGGGUGGUGUGUGUUUUGUGAUGAACAAGUCCUGGAUCUGCAUGAAGCAAGACCCAUUGCAUGAUAGAAUUGGUUCAUAAGAUCAAUGGCGUUGGAGGCAGGACACUACAAGCUAUAUAUAUAGUCUCCUUGUAAGAACUUCAAACUCCACGACGUUCAUUUGUUUUAUUGCUUGUUGCUUUCAAUCAAUUAGCUCUACUCAAUGAUUUUAACACAAAAAUCAUUACUGUUUAAGAGCUCUACAUGGACAAUCAAAUCCUAUAUUGCUUUUGGUCCUGUUC